rnacentral:rRNA from 1 species
UACGUAGGUGACGAGCGUUGUCCGGAUUUACUGGGCGUAAAGAGCGCGCAGGCGGUCGUUCAAGUCGAGUGUGAAAGCCCCCGGCUCAACUGGGGAGGGUCAUUCGAUACUGAUCGACUCGAAGGCAGGAGAGGGUAGUGGAAUUCCCGGUGUAGUGGUGAAAUGCGUAGAUAUCGGGAGGAACACCAGUGGCGAAGGCGACUACCUGGCCUGUUCUUGACGCUGAGGCGCGAAAGCUAGGGGAGCAAACGGG